rnacentral:rRNA from 1 species
UACGUAGGUGGCAAGCGUUGUCCGGAUUUAUUGGGCGUAAAGGGCUCGCAGGCGGUCUCUUAAGUCUGAUGUGAAAUCUUGCGGCUUAACCGUAAGUGGUCAUUGGAAACUGGGAGGCUUGAGUGCAGAAGAGGAGAGUGGAAUUCCAUGUGUAGCGGUGAAAUGCGUAGAGAUAUGGAGGAACACCAGUGGCGAAGGCGACUCUCUGGUCUGUAACUGACGCUGAGGAGCGAAAGCGUGGGGAGCGAACAGGAUUAGAAACCCCCGUAGUCC